UAGUGAGCUGUGAUUGCGAAGGUAAAUCGUGUGAAGUGUUUGUACUUAUUAUUUGGUGAAUCAUGAAUUAUAGGCAACUCAUUGAAGUAUUUAGAGCUCACGAGCCACUCCAAAUGUAAUGACAAGCCUAGAGGAGUUUGAAAAAGGAUAUACACCAGAGAUAGGGACACUUAUUUAUGGAAUAUCUCCAUUACAUGCAUGGAUGCGAUUUUUCGAGUGCCUUCUUCACAUAUCUUACCGAAUGGAUUUUAAAAAGUGGCAGGUAUCAAAGAUAUUAAAGGAAGCGUACUUGAAGAGAAAACAACUUAUACAGAAAAGGCUUUAUGAUAGCUUUGGUGUGAGAGUCGACCAGCCAAGGCAAGGUGGAGCAGGAUCAAGUACAACUGGAAACAUUUGUCGACGAGCGUUUUCGAAUCCAAAUCUGUUAAGUGAAGCAUUAAAUGUCAACGAAGAGCUAAUUCACCGGUUCUGGAACAUUCUGAUCGCGAUAAACUGCCAAGAGCCAAUCAAUCCUGAAA